GCGCAGCAGGCGAGAAACCUCCGCAAUGCGCGAAAGCGCGACGGGGCCACCCCGAGUGCCGCCCGCUGAGGGCGGCUUUUCCCCGGUGUAGACAGCCGGGGGAAUAAGGGGAGGGCAAGUCUGGUGUCAGCCGCCGCGGUAAUACCAGCUCCCCGAGUGGUGGGGACGAUUAUUGGGCCUAAAGCGUCCGUAGCCGGCCCGGCAAGUCUCCCGUUAAAUCCAGCGAUCUAAUCGCUGGACUGCGGGAGAUACUGUCGGGCUAGGGGGCGGGAGAGGCCGGCGGUAUUCCCGGGGUAGGGGUGAAAUCCUAUAAUCCCGGGAGGACCACCAGUGGCGAAAGCUGCCGGCUGGAACGCGCCCGACGGUGAGGGACGAAAGCCGGGGGAGCGAACCGGAUUAGAUACCCCCGUAGU
rnacentral:rRNA from 1 species